rnacentral:lncRNA from 1 species
CCCACUUCCCCUCGGGUAGAUGUAGGAUGGCUUACCCUUCUCUGGUGUUGUCCGUAGUCCCACUGAGGUAAAGCCUUCUUGUAUGAGUCCUGUACCUCUGCUUGUGAUUUAUCUGUCGUUUUAGGAGAUUGUGUAAACCUUUGGAUCCCUGUGACUGGAAUGGACAGAGCUGCAGAGAGUAGCAGCUAGAGAAGGUCAGAGAGCAGCGAGGCUGACCCGCGUGGAGCCCAGCAGGCUUAGCAUCUGCUUUGUUAUGAAGCUGGCUGAUCAAAUCCAACGAAGACCUGGAGACAGCUGGUCUCUGCUUCCUCAGACAUCUUACAGCAGGAGUCUGUGAGCUGGAGAUACUCUUCUUUGCAGGAUUCUUUUUAGUAGAACACACACACAAACAGGUUUAUUAAAGUGCUGCAAGUAAUUUUAACAAAAACAUUUCUUCCAGUGCCUGUGGGGGCCCACACGAUUCG